rnacentral:rRNA from 1 species
UACGAAGGGGGCUAGCGUUGUUCGGAAUCACUGGGCGUAAAGGGCGCGUAGGCGGCCGAUCAAGUCGGGGGUGAAAGCCUGUGGUUCAACCACAGAAUUGCCUUCGAUACUGUUUGGCUUGAGACCGGAAGAGGUAAGUGGAACUGCGAGUGUAGAGGUGAAAUUCGUAGAUAUUCGCAAGAACACCAGUGGCGAAGGCGGCUUACUGGUCCGGUUCUGACGCUGAGGCGCGAAAGCGUGGGGAGCAAACAGG